rnacentral:rRNA from 1 species
AUUGAACGCUGGCGGCAGGCCUAACACAUGCAAGCCGGACGGUAGCACAGAGGAGCUUGCUCCUCGGGUGACGAGUGGCGGACGGGUGAGUAAUGUCUGGGGAUCUGCCCGAUAGAGGGGGAUAACCACUGGAAACGGUGGCUAAUACCGCAUAACGUCGCAAGACCAAAGAGGGGGACCUUCGGGCCUCUCACUAUCGGAUGAACCCAGAUGGGAUUAGCUAGUAGGCGGGGUAACGGCCCACCUAGGCGACGAUCCCUAGCUGGUCUGAGAGGAUGACCAGCCACACUGGAACUGAGACACGGUCCAGACUCCUACGGGAGGCAGCAGUGGGGAGUAUUGCACAAUGGGCGCAAGCCUGAUGCAGCCAUGCCGCGUGUAUGAAGAAGGCCUUCGGGUUGUAAAGUACUUUCAGCGGGGAGGAAGGCGAUAAGGUUAAUAACCUUGUCGAUUGACGUUACCCGCAGAAGGAGCACCGGCUAACUCCGUGCCAGCCGCCGCUGUAA